AUUGAACGCUGGCGGCAUGCCUUACACAUGCAAGUCGAACGGUAACAGGUCUUCGGAUGCUGACGAGUGGCGAACGGGUGAGUAAUACAUCGGAACGUGCCUAGUAGUGGGGGAUAACUACUCGAAAGAGUGGCUAAUACCGCAUGAGAUCUACGGAUGAAAGCAGGGGAUCGCAAGACCUUGUGCUACUAGAGCGGCCGAUGGCAGAUUAGGUAGUUGGUGGGAUAAAAGCUUACCAAGCCGACGAUCUGUAGCUGGUCUGAGAGGACGAUCAGCCACACUGGGACUGAGACACGGCCCAGACUCCUACGGGAGGCAGCAGUGGGGAAUUUUGGACAAUGGGCGAAAGCCUGAUCCAGCAAUGCCGCGUGCAGGAUGAAGGCCUUCGGGUUGUAAACUGCUUUUGUACGGAACGAAAAGCUUCGGGUUAAUACCCUGGAGUCAUGACGGUACCGUAAGAAUAAGCACCGGCUAACUACGUGCCAGCCGCCGCGGUAA
rnacentral:rRNA from 1 species